rnacentral:rRNA from 1 species
AUGAACGCUGGCGGCGUGCCUAGUACAUGCAAGUCGAGCGAACGGACGAGAAGCUUGCUUCUCUGAUGUUAGCGGCGGACGGGUGAGUAACACGUGGAUAACCUACCUAUAAGACUGGGAUAACUUCGGGAAACCGGAGCUAAUACCGGAUAAUAUUUUGAACCGCAUGGUUCAAAAGUGAAAGACGGUCUUGCUGUCACUUAUAGAUGGAUCCGCGCUGCAUUAGCUAGUUGGUAAGGUAACGGCUUACCAAGGCAACGAUGCAUAGCCGACCUGAGAGGGUGAUCGGCCACACUGGAACUGAGACACGGUCCAGACUCCUACGGGAGGCAGCGGUAGGGAAUCUUCCGCAAUGGGCGAAAGCCUGACGGAGCAACGCCGCGUGAGUGAUGAAGGUCUUCGGAUCGUAAAACUCUGUUAUUAGGGAAGAACAUAUGUGUAAGUAACUGUGCACAUCUUGACGGUACCUAAUCAGAAAGCCACGGCUAACUACGUG